CGGCAGGAAGUACUGCGCGAUGUGCUCACCGUGUUGCAGUUGUCAAAUGAAACAGAUGUCGCCGGUCUGCGUUUGAGUCUUUAUACGUGCAACUAGACAACAAAGGAGGUAAUGUCACUUGGACAAGCGAUUUAACACGCGAGUGGAUCCACUUGUCUGUACAGCGACACUUGUGCUAAGGCUGGCAUGAGGGCGAGAGGCAGAUGGCGCGCGAGAGGGACACGGUCGCACAUGGAUGGAAACACAGCGAGGCGGAUCGGCGAUUCACUUGGCUGCCCGAUACGGAUAUAGAAUCUACCUCUUUGCUCUAUGGCUUGGAUCAGGCUGACGAGGGCGGCGGGAGCCGUCUCUAGUGGUGUGAACUGCUCACUCAGGUCGGGCACCGAAGCAGCUGAAACAACAACGCAAAUCAGCGUUACGCGUCAGUAAACGGGGGAUCAUUUAGAGACAGGCAAGUACCAAUUCCAGCCAUCGGGGUAUUGGAUCAACAUGUAUUUGUGAAGGGUGCUGAAACCAAAAUCUGACAUCAACUCAAGUCCUUAAAAAGAGAGGAGCGGCCAAUAUUACACAAUGCUGGUCAUUCCAAACAUGUGUUUGUUAUGUUGAGUGGCGACAAGACCAGUUGGUGCCUGGCUCACCAAUGGCGUGUAGCAGUAUGUAAUGCUGCCGCUCAAGUUACAUGGCGACAUGUCUCCACUGCACCCCGACUAAACAGACACGCAAUGUUUCAAGAGCGGGCAAGACCAUCCAUUCCUCUCUCACAACACAUGUUCAAGUUCAAGCCUAGACGACAAAUGCAGCUGAUUUGCACAAAAUUCUAAAUCUGAUUUCUGAUACUGAAUAAAACUUGUACAAGAAAAAAACUACAACGUUCUAAUAUAUCAUGCAGAGAAUCUUAUAAAAUUGAAUUAAGAAUGUUGUGGUGACGAUAUAGUACAUUAUUGUAUACGUGUACCCUUACUAAGAUCUAUGGAUCUGGUCUAUGAAAAGUUUGUGUUUAAAAUUUAAAUACAUUUAAACACAUUUUCACCACAAAAAAUGACAUCAUCAAGUAUUGGUACUUGUGUCUGCAAGUACACCAAAAAUGAAUACUCAAACUUGGUCUAAAAAAGCAGUACUGGUGCAUUCUUAAUGUUCACUUUACUCAAG